rnacentral:lncRNA from 10 species
ACAAGGAAGAAAGUGGAACCAAUUAGCAAGCUAAGCUGGAGUUGGAAUUACCCAGUGAAGUUGUUCUUAAGAAGGCUACUGUAAAACCAGUAACAUGAAGGUGAAUCUGUGGUUUGGAGCUCCCCCUACAGUUUGUUUGAAGACUGGUCUCUCUCAUCUCCAAGAAAAAUGACCACUUUGGAAAAUGAGUUCUUACGCAUGCUUGGAAAUAUUUUUAAUGUGUAUAUAUUGUUUAAAUUUAUGUUUAAAUGUGUACAUGAGGAAUCCGUUUUAUGUUAGACAUAUUUUUUUCGUUUGUUACCUGCUUGCUAGCUGUGGACUGUAUAAUUUAUUUUCCAAUAAGUCAAAGUCUUUGUUUUAGGUCAGAGUGCCAUUUUCAAGGUUGCGAAUUUCAACAAGAGUUAAAUGACACGUGAAACUUUAUGGCUAUUUGAGAAUUGGACAUUUUGAAUGAGAGAUUUUAUCAUUUUAUAUUUUGUUUACGUAUUUCUUUUCAAAUAUAGGGCCUGAAUUAUGACCAAGCACUAUAACUUUUAAUGAGGGAUAAAGAAUUGCAUGCCACUAUGUGUGUACUCUGAAAAAUACUCAUUUAGUUAGUCAUUUGACAAAUACUGAUUAUCAUCUAUGUGCCCGACACUGUUUAAGGCAUUAGGCACAUAUCAAUGAACAAAGCAGACAAAAAUUUCCCUGCCCUUGGGGAUCUUGUAGUUUAGUGAUGGAUGGAGGAGUAGUGGAUUAUAAAAAUUAUCAUGAUAAAGAAGUCAAUUACAUAGUGUAUUAAAAGGUUCAAAGUACUGUGAAAGCAAUGGGCCCUGGCACAGGAAAUCAGAUUGAAGGAAGGGAGAAGCAGUGAGGCAACUGCAAUUCCAAAUAGUGUGGUCAAGGAAACUCCCAUUGAAAAGAUUUGAGAAAAGACUUGGAGGUAAGAAGAGCUUUCCAGGCAGGGAAUAGCAAGUACAGAGGCCUUCAAUCAGGAGCUUGCUGGUGCAUUCAAGGCACAGUAAAGGGGCUCAGCGUGCCUGGAGUGGAGUGAAGGGGAGUGUAGCUGUAAAUCAUAUAGGGCAAGAGUCAGCAAACCAGUG